rnacentral:rRNA from 1 species
UGGGCAACCUACCCUUGACUCUGGGAUAACUCCGGGAAACCGGAGCCAAUACCGGAUAUGAACACGAAGGACAUCCUUUGUGUUGGAAAGUUUUUCGGUCAGGGAUGGGCCCGCGGCCUAUCAGCUUGUUGGCGAGGUAACGGCUCACCAAGGCGACGACGGGUAGCUGGUCUGAGAGGACGACCAGCCACACUGGAACUGAGAUACGGUCCAGACUCCUACGGGAGGCA